GAAGUUGAUACAGUAAGCAAAGAUUUAAGAUUUGAACAACACUUGUUGCGAAAUUGGACUUUUUCUUCCCUAAAGCUUCCAAUUUCAAGGUUCUGUCGCCCUUUGAGUUUAGGAUUCUUUAGACGGUAAAAAAGGACUCUUUGUGAGUUUAGGGUUCUUUUUGGACGGCAGAAGAGGGAUUUUUGUUUUGUUUGAUGAGUUUAACUUUUUGUUUUGUUUAAGAAUUGUGUUGAUCACUCAUUAAUUGUUAUUUUUUUUUAAUUUAUUUUUAAUAAAAAGUACAUUUUGGAUAACAAAAAGCCAUUUCUAUGGUUAAAAUAGACCCUACCUCUUGUAUUAUAAUUACAAAUAUUGUGGCCGCAUCUAAUGUGGCUACCACAUCUUUAUCCAAAAAAAAAAAAAAAAAAAUUCUCUCCUUUGAUACUCUCUCUGAUCUGGGACUCUUCUUCGCGAUUCUGCAACCCCCCUCUCUCCUCUCUUCCUCUGUUUCUGGUUCUCUGAAAUAUGCCAAAUCACAGAGCAAGAGUUUGAAGAAGAAUCGAAAAACAAGAGGAGAAAUUGAUGAGAGAACUAGAAGGGGGUUACAGAAUGGUUUUGGCUAACCAGAAUCAACAGAGAGAGAAUACCCCAAGUAUUUUGUUCUGUCCUGGAGAUUAAAAGAGUCCCAGAACCAGAGAAAAAAGAGAGAAAAGACGGGAGAGAAAUUUAUGGGAUGGGAUGACGUGGUUGUGCCACGGAGGAGUCGGACAAAAGUUCGGCCAUUUUGGUGAGAGCGCAUAUCAUUACUCUUCUUUUAUUUAUGUAUCAAUGUAUAAUUAGUAUGUUAUAUUAUAUUAUCAUUGCAUCCUGGGCAAUUAAGUUAUUCUCCGAUCAUAAAUAUUAUUAAAAUUUAUGGUAAAGUAUAAUCACACCGUUUGACAAAAAAAAACACUCAGAUGAAACUUUCUCAUUUUUUGGACAAAGACAUUCCUGAAGGUUAAAAAAUGGACAAUGACACCCCCCUUUAUAUGAGAAAUUGACCAAAUUAUUCUUUAACUGUUUAGAAGACUUUUUUAACUCUAUAAUUUAAUAAAUUGGACCAAUCUACCCUCAUGAACAAUUUAUGCAUAAAAAAAAUAAAAAAUAAAAAAAACUUUAUAUUAUUCACUUUUUUUUUUUUUUUUUUAGUUAUUUACUUUAUAAAUGUCUCAACUUCUUAAAAAUGUAGAUGUCUAAAAUAAUUAUUUGAUCCAAUAUAAAUAUUUCAAAUAAAUUAUAUUUUGUUAUUACUUCUUUUCUUUUUCUUUUUUAUUUUUAAACUAAGAUGCUUAAUUCUUUCAUCUAAAAAAAUUAAAUCAAUCUCUUUUCCUUAAAAAUAAAAAAUAUGGUAUCAAUAUAACUUUAUACAUCUUAAAUUAUAUAUCAAAUAUUAUGUAUUUCCCAACAUAAAAGAGAAAAAAAUAAUAAUAAAACAAAGGAAAAAAAUAAUAAAACAAAGGGAAAAAAAAAUAAUAAAACAAAGGGGAAAGAAAACAAAGGGAAAAAAAUAAUAAUAAAACAAAGGGGGAAAAAAAAAAAAAGGCGUGCAUAAAGUUAAGAUGCAUAAAGUUAUACUGGUACCAUAUUUUUUAUUUUUAAGAAAAAGAGAUUGGUUUAAUUUUUUUAGAUGAAAGGAUUAAACAUCUUAAUUUAAAAAUAAAAAAAGAAAAAGAAAAGAAGUAAUAACAAAGUAUAAUUUAUUUAAAAUAUAUGUAUUGGAUCAAAAAAUCAUUUUAGACAUCUACAUUUAUAAGAAGUUGAGACAUUUAUAAAGUGAAAAAAAAAGUGAACAAUAUAAAGUUUUUUUUUUUUUUUUUUACUUUUUUUUAUGCAUAAAUUAUUCAUGAGGGUAGAUUGGUCCAAUUUAUUAAAUUGUAAAGUUAAAAAAGUCUUCUAAACGGUCAAAUGGUAAUUUGGUCAAUUUUUCAUGUAAAGGGGUGUCUUUGUCCAUUUUUGAAACUUCGGGGGGUGUCUUUAUACAAAAAACAGGUAUGUUUAUUCUAAAUGUCCUUUUGCCAAACUUCAGAGGGUGUGGCUGUACUUUACCCUAAAAUUUAUUUUUAUUAUUUAAUUUCAUAUAAACAAUUGUUGUAUAUUUUUAAAAAAUUGAACCAAAAUUUUAUUACAAUGGUUAUCAAAUUCAAGAUGGAUUUGUACACAUCCAUAUUUCAAGAUUGAUGUCAAGAAAAUACAUUGGUGACAUUUAUCAUUUUUCUAAUUUUUAUUUGAUUUCUUAUAAAAUUGUUGUAUAUUUUAAAAAAAUUUAACUAAAAUUAUAUUAUAGUGGUUAUCAAAUUCAAGAUGGAUUGUACACAUCCAUAUUUCUAAGGAUUAAAACAAGUACUUUAAAUAAAUUUUGUUCAACUUUUGUAAGGCAACUACAAAAAUAGGCAAUGUUUUAAGCAAGAUAGCUGGUUAUUAAUGCACAUUUUCUAGACGACGAAAGUUUUGGAUUUUGACAUGAUAGGAAUGGGAUGGCUCUUAAAUUACUUAGACUAAACCGGAUUUUUUAAAUUUUUUUAUUUUAGGGGAUCUAAAAUUUUACGUAUCAUUUAUAUUUCUAUUUUAUCCUUUUGAAAAUUCGUAUCUUCACCAUCCACUUGAAGAUAAAUAAUAUCACUAAGCCGCAAGGCUUUAUAGGUACUAUCAAAGCUUUUAAUUACUAUAAAGCUUGCAAUGUUUGCUCCUAAUGGGCUUUGGGCCUAUCUAUCUUGGGCUGAAAUGUGGCCCUUUGUUUUGGGUUAGAAACUUUUCUUCCCAUUUUUUGUUCGUAUUUGCCUAAUAUAUAUAUACACACUUAAAAGUAUUGAAACUUCUAUAAUACAUUAGGUCUUUUUGGGGCAUUAUCCAAUGAUCUAAUUGAUAGAGUAUCCAGCUCCCCAAGUGGAUGUAUCCAUGUUCGUGUCUCCUCUCUCCCUCGUUUACUAAGGAAAAAAAAAUAUAGGUCUGCAUGUCCUCAUGAUAUAAGAUAUCAUGGACCUUUCAGAGAAAAAAAAUGUAUAAGAUACUACGGUGUUUAUCAUAGAAUAAAUGGGUAAUAGUUCCAAACUUUGUGGUUAUAUUAUGUAUCCCUAUUUAAAAAAUGACAAGUUUCAUUCUUUUGAUUUAAAAUUUUGUUGAACUUUGUUUUGAGUGUGUUUAUCCAGGUUUAAUUUCCUGAUGCCCUAUUUGACAUAAAGGAAGAAAAUUAGAAAGAAAUGAGAGACAAAGUGAUGGAUGAAUCAUUCUGGGUAAGGAUAGUAUUCUUUUCUCAUUUUGUUUGAUUGGAUGGAAGAGGAGAGGAGAAGGCAACACUACUUUGUUUGUUAAGAGAGAAUGAAAGAUAGAAAUUGCUAAUAUUGAGUUUAUCUAAUAAUUAUGAAGGUUAGUUUUGUAAUUUAAAUUUUUAUAAGGUCACCUUUCUCUUUCUUUUUUUCUUCAAUUCAUAUUUGGAAGGAUGAAAGUUUGUGAAUAAGAAAAUAUGAUUCAUCCAUCCUCUUUUCAUUUCCCUACUUGUCCCCUCUUUGAAGCUUGUUUCUUCCUUCUUUCUACUUUCCUUCAACCCUCUUCUUCCUUCCUCCCUUCCUUCCAAACAGAUACUAAGUUAAAAAAAAUUAGGUAAUUUUCCUCUAUGGACUUUCUAUGAUUGACCUAAAAAUAUUUUAGUAAAAUGGAAAUAGAGAGAGAAGAAAAAAAAAAAAAAAACACAAAA